rnacentral:rRNA from 1 species
GGGUAGUAGAGAUCUUUAAACCUAAAGAAUUUGGCGGUACUUCAUUCUUACUAGAGGAACCUGCUCUUGGAUCGAUAUUCCACGUUUAAAUGUACAUAUUUUUGUAUUCAGUUUGUAUACCGCCGUUGUCAGAUUAUUUUUAGAAAAUAUAAUCUAGUUAAUUUAAAGUUUAUGACUUCAGGUCAAGGUGCAGCUUAUAAAUAUGGAAGAAGUGGGUUACAAUAAAUUAUAAUUAUACGGAUUAGUAUGUGUAAACAUAUUAUUAAGGUGGAUUUAGUAGUAAAUUUAGAAUAAAAUUCUUUAUUGAAGUUGGCUCUGAG